rnacentral:rRNA from 1 species
CUGAUCGGUAGUUCCUACGGGAGGCAGCAGUGGGGAAUAUUGCACAAUGGGGGAAACCCUGAUGCAGCGACGCCGCGUGAAGGAAGAAGUAUCUCGGUAUGUAAACUUCUAUCAGCAGGGAAGAAAAUGACGGUACCUGACUAAGAAGCCCCGGCUAACUACGUGCCAGCAGCCGCGGUAAUACGUAGGGGGCAAGCGUUAUCCGGAUUUACUGGGUGUAAAGGGAGCGUAGACGGAUAGGCAAGUCUGGAGUGAAAGCCCGGGGCUCAACCCCGGGACUGCUUUGGAAACUGUUUUUCUUGAGUGCCGGAGAGGUAAGCGGAAUUCCUAGUGUAGCGGUGAAAUGCGUAGAUAUUAGGAGGAACACCAGUGGCGAAGGCGGCUUACUGGACGGUAACUGACGUUGAGGCUCGAAAGCGUGGGGAGCAAACAGGAUUAGAUACCCCAGUAGUCAAGCAACUCUCAC